GGCUCGGGAAUAGGCGGUGAGUGCGAUCAUUCCGGAAGGCUCUGUUGGCUCUCCGCUCUGACUGAAGGGUACUCAGCUUUUGAUUGAACGCAGUUGUUGCAUUCUAAUGGCCAGAUAGAUAUAAUCUCAGCUUGGGAAUCACUUCUUUAUGGAAUGACCUCUUCUGACUGUCUUCUCACUGGUUUCAUCUUAGGUCUGCAAUAUGCUAGCAGGGCAAUUGAUGUUUCCGAGUAGGCCCAGGAUUUGUUGUUGCAGUCCUGGUGAUAGAAUAUAAUUAUAGGCUGGAAAACACACAAAAAACAACAUUGAUGGCUUUAUUAGUAUCACUGACUUGUGUCAACUUCUAAAACUCUUAUGAUUGCAAGAGUACAGGUGAUGAUGUAUACAUUUAUACAUUAAAAAAACUCUUGUAAAUGAUUUGUCUUCUUCUUAAAUUUGUUCUCUCAUGUGUAGUUUAAGUGUCCUCUAUUUGCUUUGUUCUCCUUUCUGUUUAUGCUUGCUUGCUCUUUGUUUGCAUGUUCAUCCAUUUGUGCACAUUUGUUUUUGUAAGCCUUACUGUUUUUUGUGUGUGUUUCAGUUUUGUGUUUCUUUUUUUUUAUUUAUUUAAUGCCUUGAUUGUUUUUGUGAUGUUAAUGACUAGACUAGCAACAUGUGCAGUGUUUGUUCCCGCCUUGCACUCAAUGCUUGCUGGGAUAGCCUCCAGCAUCCCCACAACCCUUGCUCCCUGUAGUUUGGGAAAUGGACAGACAAAUGUUUAUGUAAUCUUUUGUUUGCAGAUUUGUGUUGUAGACUUAAGAGAUUUGAAUUAAUUUGAGUCAAGAAUAGUGGUGCUGAAAUUGGCCCUCUAGUUCUUUACAAGGAAUAGUCUUCAUUUGUUUCUCAUUCAUAUACCCUUCCCUUUAUAUCACAAAGAUGUACUGGUUAGGUUAACUGGAGAUUUCAAGUUGACCAUGUGUGAGUUUGUGUGUGUGUUUUCUAAUUUGCACCUACUUCCUCAUGGAAAGGUUCCUUACCACCAUCACCCUGAACUGCAUUAAGUGAGCUGGAUGAUGUUUUGUUCUCUAAUGCCAUCAUCAGUUUUUCUAUUGGUACUCUUCUUCUUCCUACCUCCCAAAGAAACAGGUUUAUAGGGUCAUUAGUGUCAUGUGUACAAAAUAUAAUGGAAUUUUUACUUGCAUGUAGUAAUCAAAAUGCAACACAUCACCAUUUUCAGG